ACCGGAUAGGACGAAAGUUUAAAGGUGCUUCUGGCACCGCUGAUGGAUGAGCCUGCGGCGCAUUAGCUAGUUGGUAGGGUAAAGGCCUACCAAGGCGACGAUGCGUAGCCGACCUGAGAGGGUGAACGGCCACACUGGGACUGAGACACGGCCCAGACUCCUACGGGAGGCAGCAGUAGGGAAUCUUCGGCAAUGGGCGAAAGCCUGACCGAGCAACGCCGCGUGAAUGAUGAAGGCCUUCGGGUUGUAAAAUUCUGUUAUAAGGGAAGAACGACUUUAGUAGGAAAUGGCUAGAGUGUGACGGUACCUUAUGAGAAAGCCACGGCUAACUACGUGCCAGCAGCCGCGGUAAUACGUAGGUGGCGAGCGUUAUCCGGAAUUAUUGGGCGUAAAGAGCGCGCAGGUGGUUGAUUAAGUCUGAUGUGAAAGCCCACGGCUUAACCGUGGAGGGUCAUUGGAAACUGGUCGACUUGAGUGCAGAAGAGGGAAGUGGAAUUCCAUGUGUAGCGGUGAAAUGCGUAGAGAUAUGGAGGAACACCAGUGGCGAAGGCGGCUUCCUGGUCUGUAACUGACACUGAGGCGCGAAAGUGUGGGGAUCAAACAGGAUUAGAUACCCUGGUAGUCCACACUGUAAAGGAUGAUAACUCGCGUUCGGCGAUACACAGUCGGUGGCCAGGCGAAAGCAUUAAGUUAUCCACCUGGGGAGUACGACCGCAAGGUUGAAACUCAAAGGAAUUGACGGGGGCCCGCACAAGCGGAGGAACAUGUGGUUUAAUUCGAUGAUACGCGAGGAACCUUACCCGGGCUCGAACGGUGCAUGAAUAUACGAGAGAUUGUAUAGUCCUUCGGGACAUGUAUCGAGGUGCUGCAUGGUUGUCGUCAGCUCGUGCCGUGAGGUGUCGGCUUAAGUGCCAUAACGAGCGCAACCCUUGUCAUUAGUUGCCAUCAGGUCAAGCUGGGGACUUUAAUGAGACUGCCACCGUAAGGUGUGAGGAAGGGGGGGAUGACGUCAAAUCAGCACGGCCCUUAUGUCCGGGGCGACACACGUGUUACAAUGGGAGGUACAGAGGGCAGCUAUCCGGUGACGGAAUGCUAAUCUCCAAAACCUUUCUCAGUUCGGAUUGGAGUCUGCAACUCGACUCCAUGAAGGUGGAUUCGCUAGUAAUCGCGCAUCAGCCAUGGCGCGGUGAAUACGUUCCCGGGCCUUGUACUCACCGCCCGUCA
rnacentral:rRNA from 1 species